AGACAAUAGAUACCCUGGUAGUCCACGCCCUAAACGAUGUCAACUAGUUGUUGGGGAUUCAUUUCCUUAGUAAACGUAGCUAAACGCGUGAAGUUGACCGCCUGGGGAGUACGGUCGCAAGAUUAAAACUCAAAGGAAUUGACGGGGACCCGCACAAGCGGUGGAUGAUGUGGAUUAAUUCGAUGCAACGCGAAAAACCUUACCUACCCUUGACAUGGUCGGAACCCUGCUGAAAGGUGGGGGUGCUCGAAAGAGAACCGGCGCACAGGUGCUGCAUGGCUGUCGUCAGCUCGUGUCGUGAGAUGUUGGG
rnacentral:rRNA from 1 species